rnacentral:rRNA from 1 species
AGGGCAUACGAUGGAUGCCUAGGUGCCGGGAGGCGAUGAAGGACGCAGCAAGCUGCGAUAAUCCUCGGGGAGCCGCAAGCAGGCUUUGAUCCGAGGGUGUCCGAAUGGGGAAACCCGGCCGUCGUAAUGGGCGGUCAUUCACGGAUGAAUUCAUAGUCCGUGAAAGUGAACGGGGCGAAGUGAAACAUCUCAGUAACCCCAGGAAAAGAAAACGACAAUGAUUCCGUAAGUAGUGGCGAGCGAAAGCGGAAAAGCCUAAACCGGAGAGAUUUAUUUCUCCGGGGUUGCGGGACCUGCAGCAAAGGAGAGGGAGUAGGAAGAGUUCAACGUCUUGGAAGGGACGGCCGAAGAGCGUGAGAGCCGCGUGAGCGAAGUCCGAGACCCAUCCGAGCAGGCACCCAAGUAGCACGGAAUGAGUGAAACUCUGUGUGAAUCUGUCCGGACCACCGGAUAAGGCUAAAUACUACCCGGCAACCGAUAGUGAACCAGGACCGUGAGGGAAAGGUGAAAAGAACCCCUGCUAGGGGAGUGAAACAGAUCCUGAAAUCGUAUGCCUACAAGGUGUUGGAGUUCCGUCACAGGACGGGAUGACAGCGUGCCUUUUGCAUAAUGAGUCUGCGAGUUGUCUUCGGCGGCAAGCCUAAGUCCUUAUGGGACGGAGGCGAAGCGAAAGCGAGUAUUAAAUGUGCGAACAUGGAGUCGCCGGGGGCAGACCCGAAGCGGAGGUGAUCUACACUUGAGCAGGUUGAAGCUCCGGUAACACGGAGUGGAGGACCGAACCGGUGAAUGUUGAAAAAUUCUCGGAUGACUUGAGUGUAGGAGUGAAAGGCUAAUCAAACCCCGUGAUAGCUGGUUCUCUCCGAAAUAGCUUGAGGGCUAGCGUCGGACAAGUACUCCAGGGAGGUAGAGCACUGAAUGGCUUAGGGUCCCUACCAGGAUGCCAAAACCAAUCAAACUCCGAAUGCCCUGGAUCCCAUUACUCCGGCAGUCAGCUGACAGGGGAUAAACUCUGUUGACAAGAGGGAAACAACCCAGACCGCCGGCUAAGGUGCCUAAAUAUCAUUAAGUGGAAAGGAUGUGGCGUUGCUUGGACAGUGAGGAUGUUGGCUUAGAGGCAGCCACCAUUUAAACAGUGCGUAACAGCUGACUCAUCGAGCGAUGCUGCGCCGAAAAUGAUUGGCGAUAAAUGAUAUACCGAAGCCGCGGGUGCAUGGACAAUACGUUGUCCAUGCGCGGUAGGAGAGCGCGGCCGUCUGCGAUGAAGCCCAACCGUAAGGGAAGGUGGAGCGGCGGCCGGUGAGAAUGCAGACAUAAGUAGCGAGAAACAGGAUGAGAAUUCCUGUCGCCGUAAACCUAAGGUUUCCUGGGCAAGGUUCGUCCCCCCAGGGUUAGUCGGGAGCUAAGGCGAGGCCGGAGGGCGUAGUCGAUGCACAGCAGGCAAAUAUUCCUGCACUGGCUGGGGCGCAGGCGUCGAGGGACGCCGGCUGGAAGGUGGCAAGGUCAUCGAAAGACCGAUGCUUAGACUUCUUGUUGAAGCGUACCACUGGAAGGACGGCCGAGAAAAGCUCGGCGUCGUUUCCCCAGGCACCCGUACCGUAAACCGACACAGGUAGGUGGGAUGAGUAUUCCAAGGCGCGCGGGAGAAACCACUCUAAGGAACUCGGCAAAAUAGCCCCGUAACUUCGGGAGAAGGGGUACCCGUUUCGACGGGUCACAGUAAAGUGGGUCUGGCGACUGUUUAGCAAAAACACAGCACUCUGCCAAGUCGUUAAGACAAAGUAUAGGGUGUGACACGUGACCAAUGCGGAAAGAUCAAGGUGACUUGUCAUCCUCCCUUCGGGGGGGGUGAAUGUCGGCCGUAACUAUAACGGUCCUAAGGUAGCGAAAUUCCUUGUCGGGUAAGUUCCGACCUGCACGAAUCGUGUAACGACCGGACCGCUGUCUCAGAGUGGAUCCCGGCGAAAUUGUAAUGGCGGUGAAGAUGCCGCCUACCCGCAGUAGGACGGAAAGACCCUAUGCACCUUUACUGUAAGCUGGUAUUGUGUUCUGAUUAAUGAUGCGUAGCGUAGGUGGGAGACGUUGAAACGGUGAUUCAGGUUGCCGUGGAGUCGCCAAAUGAAACACCACUCUUUGUUGGUUAGGAUUCUAACUUCGUUCCGUUAUCCGGGCGAAGAACAGUGCCAGCGGGUCAGUUUGACUGGGGCGGUUUCCUCCCAAAAGGUAACGGAGGAGCGCUAAGGUACUCUCAGCAUGGUUGGUAACCAUGCGUCGAGCGUAUGGGUAGAAGAGUGCUUAACUGCGAGACUGACAGGUCGAGCAGAUGCGAAAGCAGGCCCAAGUGAUCCGGUGGUUGAAAGUGGAAUUGCCAUCGCUCAACGGACAAAAGGUACGCUAGGGAUAACAGGCUUAUCGCGCGUUUGGCACCUCGAUGUCGGCUCAUCACAUCCUGGGGCUGGAGAAGGUCCCAAGGGUUCGGCUGUUCGCCGAUUAAAGUGGUACGCGAGCUGGGUUCAGAACGUCGUGAGACAGUUCGGUCCUUAUCCACUGUGGGCGCAGGAAACUUGAGGGGUUCAUUCCUUAGUACGAGAGGACCGGGAAUGACGCACCUCUGGUGUGGCAGUUGUUUCGUCAGAAGCAGCGCUGCGUAGCUACGUGCGGAAGAGAUAAGCGCUGAAAGCAUCUAAGUGCCAAGCUCCUCCCAAGAUCAGGUUUCCCGGACGCAAGUCCCUGAAGGCCCCCGGUAGACUACCGGGUUGAUAGGUCAGGCGUGUAAGCGUUGUAAGACGUUCAGCGGACUGAUACUAAUAGGCCGUGCGGCUUGAUC